UGGGGAAUAUUGCACAAUGGGCGAAAGCCUGAUGCAGCAACGCCGCGUGAGUGAUGAAGGCCUUCGGGUUGUAAAGCUCUGUCUUUUGGGACGAUAAUGACGGUACCAAAGGAGGAAGCCACGGCUAACUACGUGCCAGCAGCCGCGGUAAUACGUAGGUGGCAAGCGUUGUCCGGAUUUACUGGGCGUAAAGGAUGCGUAGGCGGAUUUUUAAGUGAGAUGUGAAAACCCUAAGCUUAACUUGGGGACUGCAUUUCAUACUGGAAAUCUAGAGUGCGGGAGAGGAGAAUGGAAUUCCUAGUGUAGCGGUGAAACGCGUAGAGAUUAGGAAGAACACCAGUGGCGAAGGCGAUUCUCUGGACCGUAACUGACGCUGAGGCAUGAAAGCGUGGGUAGCAAACAGGAUUAGAUACCCUGGUAGUCCACGCCGUAAACGAUGAGUACUAGGUGUAGGAGGUAUCGACCCCUUCUGUGCCGCAGUUAACACAAUAAGUACUCCGCCUGGGAAGUACGAUCGCAAGAUU
rnacentral:rRNA from 1 species